rnacentral:tRNA from 1 species
GGGUGAUUAGCUCAGUUGGUUUAGAGCACUGCCUUGACAGGGCAGGGGUCAGCAGUUCGAGUCUGCUAUCACCCA